GACGAACGCUAGCGGAAGGCUUAAUACAUGCAAGUCGAGCGGUAGGUGGCUUCGGCCAUUGAGAGCGGCGCACGGGUGAGUAACGCGUACAUGACCUGCCUGUCAGAAGGGGAUAGCCCUGGGAAACUGGGAUUAAUACCCUAUGGUAUUGAUAUUAUGAAUGAUAUCAAUUAAAGUUGAGGCGCUGACAGAUGGAUGUGCGUCUGAUUAGCUAGUUGGUAGGGUAACGGCCUACCAAGGCGACGAUCAGUAGGGGGCGUGAGAGCGUGGUCCCCCACACGGGUACUGAGACACGGACCCGACUCCUACGGGAGGCAGCAGUAAGGAAUAUUGGUCAAUGCCCGCAAGGGUGAACCAGCCAUUCCGCGUGGAGGAUGAAGGCCCUAUGGGUUGUAAACUUCUUUUAGAUGGGAAGAAAAUGCUAGAUGUAUCUGGUACUGACGGUACCAUCAGAAUAAGCACCGGCUAACUCCGUGCCAGCAGCCGCGGUAAU
rnacentral:rRNA from 1 species